CACAAACUUUUUGAUCCAAUAAGCUGCACCACUUGUCUUACAAGCCUGUUCAAGCGUAGGAAGUCAUAUGCAAUCUGUCCACAAGUCUGUUGAUCUGAUAAGCUGCACCACUUGUCUUACAAGCCCGUCCAAGUUAAGCAUUACACAAGGUAGCUAGUGGCGUCAAAUUUUCACACUGCAAGGUAGCUGUUGUCGACUAGGAGUCGUCUGUAUUUCAGUAUAUAACCGCCGUCAAGGAGAAGUCCACGCCCAGCCA
rnacentral:lncRNA from 1 species